GCAUACUCAGUACAUUCCAAAGUACUGAUUCAUAUAUACUUCUAUGUGCUACAUUGUCUCGUAAUAUAGGUUCAGCUUAUAGCGUAUGUACCAUAUUCCAUUAGUUCACCGCUUCCAGUCAUCAGAUGAUGGGUCCCUUUGAUUCAGGGCUACGAGUCAGUGAUACAGUAGAAAAAUGUUGUAUUUCCCUUAUUCAGUCGUAUUGAGUUGGGGUUGUUAGGAGUCAUGACCC
rnacentral:lncRNA from 1 species